rnacentral:rRNA from 1 species
AUGCUAAUACCGCAUACGCCCUACGGGGGAAAGCAGGGGAUCACUUGUGACCUUGCGUUAAUAGAUGAGCCUAAGUCGGAUUAGCUAGUUGGUGGGGUAAAGGCCUACCAAGGCGACGAUCUGUAGCGGGUCUGAGAGGAUGAUCCGCCACACUGGGACUGAGACACGGCCCAGACUCCUACGGGAGGCAGCAGUGGGGAAUAUUGGACAAUGGGGGGAACCCUGAUCCAGCCAUGCCGCGUGUGUGAAGAAGGCCUUAUGGUUGUAAAGCACUUUAAGCGAGGAGGAGGCUCUCUUGGUUAAUACCCAAGAUGAGUGGACGUUACUCGCAGAAUAAGCACCGGCUAACUCUGUGCCAGCAGCCGCGGUAAUACAGAGGGUGCGAGCGUUAAUCGGAUUUACUGGGCGUAAAGCGUGCGUAGGCGGCUUUUUAAGUCGGAUGUGAAAUCCCCGAGCUUAACUUGGGAAUUGCAUUCGAUACUGGGAAGCUAGAGUAUGGGAGAGGAUGGUAGAAUUCCAGGUGUAGCGGUGAAAUGCGUAGAGAUCUGGAGGAAUACCGAUGGCGAAGGCAGCCAUCUGGCCUAAUACUGAC